AUCUAAGUACCCCGAGGAAAAGAAAUCAACCGAGAUUCCCCCAGUAGCGGCGAGCGAACGGGGAGGAGCCCAGAGCCUGAAUCAGCAUGUGUGUUAGUGGAAGCGUCUGGAAAGGCGCGCGAUACAGGGUGACAGCCCCGUACACAAAAGCGCAUGUGCUGUGAGCUCGAUGAGUAGGGCGGGACACGUGGUAUCCUGUCUGAAUAUGGGGGGACCAUCCUCCAAGGCUAAAUACUCCUGACUGACCGAUAGUGAACCAGUACCGUGAGGGAAAGGCGAAAAGAACCCCGGCGAGGGGAGUGAAAAAGAACCUGAAACCGUGUACGUACAAGCAGUGGGAGCACAGGUUUACCUGUGUGACUGCGUACCUUUUGUAUAAUGGGUCAGCGACUUAUAUUCUGUAGCAAGGUUAACCGAAUAGGGGAGCCGUAGGGAAACCGAGUCUUAAC
rnacentral:rRNA from 2 species